GGAGGGGUGGCCGAGAGGUCGAAGGCGGCGGUCUUGAAAACCGCCGAGCGAAAGCUCCGUGGGUUCGAAUCCCACCCCCUCCG
rnacentral:tRNA from 1 species